GGUGCAGGGAUGUGUCCUCGUUCCGAUCUGCGAGUGUGCAGGGAAUAAGGGAAAUGCCAUGAAGUAUGUGGGCCAAAUGAAAGAGAAUACUAAAGGAUUCUGGUAAGGCAAUCUAAAUGAGUAGCCUGAAACCUGGCUUCCAGGAGAUUCUCUGCCUGGGUUCUUCGGUCUACAGUCUGAAAUGAAUGCGUGCCACAGCCUCUGUUUCACUGGAAGCUUUAAUAAAUUCUCCAUCUAGCAACAUCUGUUUAUGAAAUGUAAGACUGUCAGGUCAUUAAGGCAAGUUCCUUGCUCAGCUUGGCUAAAACUGGCCAGAGAUUCACGGAUUGUGACAGGAAGCCCUGGCUUGCAUGACAUGUGUAACAUGUCAGUAUCCAGACCUGGACACUCUCUGCAUAAUGUGUGUAUCCAGACAUACAAAUAUACAGAGCAUGCUUUCUCCUUUAGGGAAGGAGGAAAAUUUUCAGCUCACUGCUUACUACACAACUUGUGGAGGACUACAGUACAGGCAGAGCCCUCAAAUCUCAGGAAGAGAGCAGAACAUAAAGCAGGUGUGUUACAUUAUUUUAAUCCUGUCAACACCAGCUGAAUGAAUUUGUUGAUCCAUGAUAGCAAAGUAACUCUAAGCUACUGUUAGCAGUUGACAUAAGAAAUACAGUUGGCUGCACAGUGAUAAACUUGUCACCAGACAGUUUUUCCAGUGCAGAGCAAAAACUCAUACUUGUCACCAAACAGAUACUAUAGGUUUCUUUUCUACAGUGGAAGAUCUGGAUGAGCUCACAUGAAUUUCUUGCAAUCUGCAAUUAUGUCUGAUUCUCUAUUUUUAAUAAAAAUGACCCUUGUG